rnacentral:rRNA from 1 species
UUUAUUGGAGAGUUUGAUCCUGGCUCAGGAUGAACGCUGGCGGCGUGCCUAAUACAUGCAAGUCGAGCGAAUGGAUUAAGAGCUUGCUCUUAUGAAGUUAGCGGCGGACGGGUGAGUAACACGUGGGUAACCUGCCCAUAAGACUGGGAUAACUCCGGGAAACCGGGGCUAAUACCGGAUAAUAUUUUGAACCGCAUGGUUCGAAAUUGAAAGGCGGCUUCGGCUGUCACUUAUGGAUGGACCCGCGUCGCAUUAGCUAGUUGGUGAGGUAACGGCUCACCAAGGCAACGAUGCGUAGCCGACCUGAGAGGGUGAUCGGCCACACUGGG